GUUUUACCUUGACGAAUUGUAGUUUAAAGAAGUGUUUUCUGUUGAAGUUUUGGUAAAAGUUCUUUGGAAUAGGACAUCAUAGAGGGUGAGAAUCCCGUAUUUGACCAUUAUUUUCAGCUGUGUGAUACACUUUCAAAGAGUCGGAUUGUUUGGGAAUGCAGUCCAAAAUGGGUGGUAAAUUUCAUCUAAAGCUAAAUAUUGGCGAGAGACCGAUAGCGAACAAGUACCGUGAGGGAAAGAUGAAAAGAACUUUGAAAAGAGAGUUAAACAGUACGUGAAAUUGUCAAAAGGGAAGCGUUUGACACCAGUGUUGUUUUCUCGAAAAUCAAUUAAAAAAAGUUGGAUUUUGUGUUGUAUUGACCUUAACAGCUUUCUGCACUCUUUUCCUGCUUUUUU
rnacentral:rRNA from 1 species